AUGAACGCUGGCGGCGUGCCUCAUCCAUGCAAGUCGCGCGAACGGACGAGAAGCUUGCUUCUCUGAUGUUAGCGGCGGACGGGUGAGUAACACGUGGAUAACCUACCUAUAAGACUGGGAUAACUUCGGGAAACCGGAGCUAAUACCGGAUGAUAUUUUGAACCGCAUGGUUCAAAAGUGAAAGACGGUCUUGCUGUCACUUAUAGAUGGAACCGCGCUGCAUUAGCUAGUUGGUAAGGUAACGGCUUACCAAGGCAACGAUGCAUAGCCGACCUGAGAGGGUGAUCGGCCACACUGGAACUGAGACACGGUCCAGACUCCUACGGGAGGCAGCAGUAGGGAAUCUUCCGCAAUGGGCGAAAGCCUGACGGAGCAACGCCGCGUGAGUGAUGAAGGUCUUCGGAUCGUAAAACUCUGUUAUUAGGGAAGAACAUAUGUGUAAGUAACUGUGCACAUCUUGACGGUACCUAAUCAGAAAGCCACGGCUAACUACGUG
rnacentral:rRNA from 1 species